CCUACGGGUGGCAGCAGUGAGGAAUAUUGGUCAAUGGACGAGAGUCUGAACCAGCCAAGUCGCGUGAAGGAUGACUGCCCUCUGGAUGGUAAACUUCUUUUAUAUGGGAAUAAAAUCUGCCACGUGUGGGAUUUUGUAUGUACCAUAUGAAGAAGGAUCGGCUAACUCCGUGCCAGCAGCCGCGGUAAUACGGAGGAUCCGAGCGUUAUCCGGAUUUAUUGGGUGUAAAGGGAGCGUAGGUGGAUUGUUAAGUGAGUGGUGAAAGUUUGCGGCUCAACCGUAAAACUGCAGUUGAAACUGGGAGUCUUGAGUACAGUAGAGGUGGGCGGAAUUCGUGGUGUAGCGGUGAAAUGCUUAGAUAUCACGAAGAACUCCGAUUGUGAAGGCAGCUCACUGGACUGCAACUGACACUGAGGCUCGAAAGUGUGGGGAUCAAACAGGAUUAGAUACCCCUGUAGUC
rnacentral:rRNA from 1 species